AUUGAACGCUGGCGGCAGGCUUAACACAUGCAAGUCGAGCGGGGGAAGGUAGCUUGCUACCGGACCUAGCGGCGGACGGGUGAGUAAUGCUUAGGAAUCUGCCUAUUAGUGGGGGACAACAUCUCGAAAGGGAUGCUAAUACCGCAUACGUCCUACGGGAGAAAGCAGGGGAUCUUCGGACCUUGCGCUAAUAGAUGAGCCUAAGUCGGAUUAGCUAGUUGGGGGGGUAAAGGCCUACCAAGGCGACGAUCUGUAGCGGGUCUGAGAGGAUGAUCCGGCCCACGGGGACUGAGACACGGCCCAGAUUCCUACGGGGGGCAGCAGGUGGGAAUAUUGUACAAUGGGCGGAACCCUGAUCCAGCCAUGCCGCGUGUGUGAAGAAGGCCUUAUGGUUGUAAAGCACUUUAAGCGAGGAGGAGGCUACUUUAGUUAAUACCUAGAGAUAGUGGACGUUACUCGCAGAAUAAGCACCGGCUAACUCUGUGCCAGCAGCCGCCGUAA
rnacentral:rRNA from 1 species